AUAAUACUCCCUCCGUCCGAAAAUACUUGUCUUAAAAAUGAUUGUAUCUACAUUUAUUUUAGUUAUAAAUACAUCUAUUUUCAAUCAUUUGUAAGUACAAGUAUUUCCGGAUGAAGGGAGUACAAA
rfam:Triticum urartu cultivar G1812 contig54646, whole genome shotgun sequence.